UACGAAGGGGGCUAGCGUUGCUCGGAAUCACUGGGCGUAAAGGGUGCGUAGGCGGGUUUUUAAGUCAGGGGUGAAAUCCUGGAGCUCAACUCCAGAACUGCCUUUGAUACUGAGGAUCUUGAGUUCGGGAGAGGUGAGUGGAACUGCGAGUGUAGAGGUGAAAUUCGUAGAUAUUCGCAAGAACACCAGUGGCGAAGGCGGCUCACUGGCCCGAUGCUGACGCUGAGGCACGAAAGCGUGGGGAGCAAACAGG
rnacentral:rRNA from 1 species